rnacentral:rRNA from 1 species
GGCCUAACACAUGCAAGUCGAGCGGUAGCACAGAGAGCUUGCUCUCGGGUGACGAGCGGCGGACGGGUGAGUAAUGUCUGGGAAACUGCCUGAUGGAGGGGGAUAACUACUGGAAACGGUAGCUAAUACCGCAUAACGUCGCAAGACCAAAGAGGGGGACCUUCGGGCCUCUUGCCAUCAGAUGUGCCCAGAUGGGAUUAGCUAGUAGGUGAGGUAAUGGCUCACCUAGGCGACGAUCCCUAGCUGGUCUGAGAGGAUGACCAGCCACACUGGAACUGAGACACGGUCCAGACUCCUACGGGAGGCAGCAGUGGGGAAUUUUGGACAAUGGGCGAAAGCCUGAUCCAGCCAUGCCGCGUGCAGGAUGAAGGCCUUCGGGUUGUAAACUGC